rnacentral:ncRNA from 2 species
GACAGAGUAGGUAAAGCACGUUAAGUGUUAAAGGAUGGGAAGUUGCCUUUAAACGAAAGGUUCACAUUUUGUGAAUCUGCGAUACUUUACCGCAUCCGCUGUU